rnacentral:lncRNA from 1 species
AUGGAACAAUCUCAGAAAUUACAUUGUCAAGCUCCCUGCUCCUGCGUAGAAAGUUGCACUUCCAUAAAGAGGGUUUCAUCUCCACUUCUACAUUCCUGUCACUGCUCGACAGAUGUUGAAUGUGGAUCUGCUGCUUUGGGUAUGUUUCAGUAAGAAUGAGCCUACACUUCGCUUUGAGAAUAUUUCAGACUUCCUGAAGAAACUGUACAAACAUACUAAAAGCUUAAGCAAUUGUAAAUAGGAAAAAAAAUAAUGCUUUGCUACCUCAACAGCUUUCUCAGGUGGGUUGAUUUUGCAGGUAUGCCUGCACACAGAAGAUCCAGUGAUUUGACUGCUCCACACUAGUUUUGUCAUUGCUCCUUUAAAUAGCAAUCUUGUAC